UACCUUCCACCUUGCCAUCAUAUUCUUCUUCUCAUCAAGGGUAGAGUAAUCAGGGUUAUGAUGGACAACGUGUCCUGCAUAUUCUGCACCAACAGAUUUGAGGAAGCAAGGUCCCCCCCUCCUUGUGCGCUGAAGCUAUGAAUCUAUGGAACUGGUGCAUAACCCAUAUUUCAGCAGUUUACCUCCCAGGCAUUCAGAAUACCACAACCGAUGCUCUUAGCCAACCCUUUUCAAGACACUUAGUUGUGGUAAAAUUCAGUAAUUAAUGCUUUUAAAGGCAAUUUUUGUUUGUACAUUUGUCGUUUGCUUCUCAAGAAAUGGAUCUAGGGCUAGUAAAAGUGCUUAACAUAUGUACUAGUACUGUGGAGGAGGGAGGGAAGGUAAAUGCACAUAUACCUCUGUAUUUGAGCAAAGAUAAGAGUAGGUUUAUUAAGUAAAAGUUUAUGCAUUUCUAUUUUAGUGAAGUUGUAAUGCAAACAAUGUUCUGUAAUUUAAACAAGAAACUCCUUGUGUUUAAUAUCUGGCCAUUUUUGCACAUGGCAUAAAUUGGGGUAGCGCUAUUGACUUUCAUGGAACUAUGGUGAGUUACACCAGCUGAGGAUCUUUGUCUACAGUGCACUCUUAUGUAGCCUUACAUUUGCCAUGUAGGAAAAGAUACCAUCAAACAUAACAUACAACUUAACGGGAUGUGUCGUGAAAGGCUACAGGAAAUGUGCUGACCACUAGUACGUACCUAACAUGCAAAAAUACAUACAUUUUGCUGCAAGAAUUUUGCUACAGCAGAAGCAGCUGGGGUGAGGAGUUAAGGCAAAUGUAUUUUGUGGCUCAUUGUCAUAGAAGAAUAUCAUGUGGAAUAUGCCAGUGGAACUCUGAAUCCUUAUUUGGCCCAAGAGUAACAGAAGCUAAGUAAAGACCAUAAGGAGUGUAGCCAAAACAGUCCAAAACAAGAUCAGCAUUUUAAGUGAACCUUGGAAAAAUGAUUGUGUGAUCAGACACUGCGCUGCAAGCAAGAAUACCCAUUUGGUAAUUGUAGUCGUGGACAAAAAGUUGAAUGCUGUGCUUUCAGUAACUUAUCAUUGAGACCUUGUGGUUUCUGUGUAGGAGGGCUGUACAAGCUGGACAUGUUUGACAUCCUUAUUUCUGAGCUGUGAAAUCUGUUCAUCUAACUUAUGAAAAUUACUUCUGCUUUUAUUUUAUUAUUUUAUUUAGUGAAGUCAAUGCCAUAUUUUCCUUGCAUUCAGUGGAAACAAAAACAAUGUCUUAGGGUAUGCUGUGAACCUGCUUUGACCUCCUAAGAGAAAAGGAUGAAUAUGUUCAUUUCUAUGAUUAACAGUCAAGAUGCUUUUCUUAUAGAAGUAAGCUUAAAUAAAAUACUAUAACCAGUUGAUCGGAGAGAGGGGAGCAUCUCUCUGAUGUGGAGAUAGAAGAUUCAUUACUAGGCCAUGUUAGUAUUACGUUUUUAAUCCUUGGUUUUCUACUGUAAGUGUGAUCGUAACAUAGAACCAUGUAAAUACCUGUAGUUCUUUUAGAGGGCUCAAUCCAGUUCUUCAUAUUGAAAAUGGAUUACUUUGGGAUGGGGAGGUCUGAAUAGUCUUCCCAUGCUAUAGAGCCGUAGUAAGUCACUCCUGCACCUCUGUUCUGCUAGUAAUAGAUCCACUGGCGUCAGCCUGUCUCUUCCCCCAGGCCGCCACUCCUCUAGCUGCUAUGAAGAUACAUACCAGGAGCCCCCAGAGAGCUGAGAUGUGUAGAAUGCAGAGCAUUUGGGCCUGUGUGGGUUCAGCAAAUCCUGUCUCCGCUCAUUGUCCUACAUAGCAGAACCCCACCAACUGCACCACACAUGGGGCCUUCUGCAGGGGCAAGAUCAGUGCCCAUGCAGCCAAUACAUCAUACUCCAAAAUGAAGCAAUAGAAUGAAUCAAAUCCUAUGCAUAUGAAAGAGACCACUCAAAGAUUCAAAACAGAUCCACAGUCUUUCUUGGAUAUGUCUAUACUACAAAUGCUACAGCAACACACUACAGCUAUGCUACUAUAGUGUAGACACUAGAGCAAGGGAAGUGUUUUUUCCUGUUCUUUAGUAAAUCCACCUGCCUUUUGAGAGUCUGAUGGAAGAAUUCGUCUGUUGACGUAGCUGCAUCAGCUGUGGGUGUUAGGUUGACCUAACUACAUCCCACAGGCUGGGAAAUUUUUCACAGCCCUGAGUGAUAUAGCUAGGAUGACCUAAGUUUUAGGUGUAGACCAGACCCUGGCAAAAUAGAAGAGGAACUAGUACUUUUGUGGAUGUUUCACCCCAUCUGUUUUCUGCCACCUCAUCUGUGGCAGAAAAAUCCACCUGAAAGCAUUAAAGACAAUAGAACCCUUUUGCAUGCAUUUUGUGUUAAAGAUUUAGAGUGUGAUUAUCACUGAACAAUCAUUUUGGAAAAGAUGACCAUGAGAAGCUCAUGUUACUAACUCUGAUUUUUGUAUCUCAAACAUGGCUUUGCAAAUAAAAAGAUCAGAUAUGUUCAUUUUUAACUAAUUUUCUCAAUGAUCUCUGUUUCAGACAUGCUCCUUUGCAGGUAAAAAGGUAGGUGUGUGUGUGUGUGUUUGUGUGUUAAGUGCCAGGCUUGCAAAAUCUCCCUUGGAUCUGAAAAUCAAGGGGGUGAUACUGCUCAUGCUUACUCAACACAAUCUGAACAAAGAGAGGCACGUAAUAGUGGUAAGCAGUUGAGGUAUAUGGUUGGAAAAUAGUAAACUUGCUAUAUUAAAAUAUCCAUGUGUCAGGGACAUUUUGUGCUACUAACCAAGUACUUGUAAUAAACAUCUCUAAGUGAAAAACUAAAUUUCCUAUGGAGACAACAAGUUUGUCAAUAGUCCAACUUGUGGAAAAAUCAUUUGAGACACAGGGAUAUAUACAGUGAUGGCCAGCCAAUCCAAGUCUUAUUGAAGUCAGUGAGGUCCUUUGGAAGUUAAGGCUUUAAGUGUAAUCACUAUGUACAAAUGCCUAAGGGCAAUGCAGGAGACAAAGUGAAAAUCCAGAUUUUUCAAUAUGCUGAAGUACUCUGUAAACAGGUUCAGCAUCACAAGAUUCUCUCUGUCUAGUCCAAAUGCUCAUCAUUUCAUAUAUUGAGUACUACACCAGUACUCGUCUCCAGCCUGGACAAAUGCACUCUUGCCCUGUUCAUCUCCAUUCAAAAUGCUGUUAUAAUCACUUUCCUGGCUCAUUGCUUUGAUGAGAUCACCCCUCUCCUUGCAUCCAUCUACUGGCUCCCUCUUUUCCAUCAGAUCAAACACAAACUACUAGUCUUCACUUUUAAGAUUUGUGACUAGGCUGGUCAACUCCCAUGUGCCCCCUCAUGGCCUUGGGUAACAGUACAAGCAGCCUGCCUCAGUGUCCAGCCUUGAAGUUUUAUUUGAACAUGGCACCCAGGCUUUUUGUGAUCAAGAAUACCUGUCCUUGAGACCUGGGUUUAUUAAUAUAGAAAUAAACUUCACAUAAAAUGCAAAGUCCCAAAACAAAGUCUAUCCAAAACAAAAGUGGUUGAAUCUCCUCCCAGCAUUCCUGUCUGGGGGUCUUUCCUGCUUUUGCAGGCCCCAUGUGCCAGUCCUAGUUCCCAGGACACUCUGGUAGAACCUGCUCACUUCUAGUUCUGAUCCCCAAGUAUUCUCCUUUUCACUGGAACCUUCUGCUGCUCUUUAUAGAGCAAGCAACUGAUCUCUCCCAGGUGUGGCUCCUUAGUAAUCAGGGUUGGCUGGCCAUAGGCUUUCCAGCCCUUAGGUGCAAGUUGCCCUGUUACAAGACCCUUCAAUACUUAUCCCUGCGCCACCUAUUAUCUCUUUAGGCUAUUGAGAUGGCCACUCCUGCCUUUGCUCUGCCUGUGCUGCCAGAAGUUUUUGCACAUCUGUUUAAAUUUUCAAACAAGCACCUUUGAUUCCUCCCAGACUGCCCAUCAGGCAUGGAAAGAGCUCUGUGGAAACAUCUACAAAGCCACCUCACUGUUCUCCUUCUAAGUCUUCCUUAAAACUCUUCUCCUCAGUGCUUACAGAAAAUGUGGUGUGCUGUGACAGGCAGCUUGUGUGCUGUGAACAAUGAUUUUCCUGCUCCUCAGUUCUGGCUCAUUAUUACCUUGUGCUCACCUUCUCUUUUGUCUUAAACUGUAAGCUCUUCAGGAUAGGGACUGUCUACUUGUUAGAUGUGUGUCUGGUGCCUAGCACAAUGAGGCCCUGUUCCAUAACUAAGCACUACUGCAAUGCAAAUAAAAGUGUUGACCCUUAGAACAAGUGGAAAACCAAAAUUCAGGGCCUUGUAGGUCAGUUCUGUUUGAGUGAAAAAUCAGUGACCCAGAAAUCCUUGAUGUAAUCCAUUUAUUUACAGAAAUAUACACAAAGUCUUCUCUCCAUGAUCACAAACAGAGAGCACACAGGUAGCUUCCUUGCUAAACUAUCCCUAGGUGAGUCCCUCUAGUCGUCACUGUAUCUGAGGAGAGGCUGGCUCUGCUUUCUUUCAGGAUCAUACACCUAAAACUCUUCAGCUAAUGUACUCACACAGCCCACAACACUCCCUACCCUCUGUAUUUGGAAUCUCUAGGCUGGCUGGCUGCGGACAUUAGCCUCGAAGAUGUCUCUUUAAGGGUCCUCUGGGUGGUUACUUCAGUUGCCAAUAACCUUACUAAGCAGCCAUAAGCCCCUUUCACAACAACAAUAAUAACCAUCACCACUUCGGGAUACGAGCUGCUGCUUCUGGAUCACACAUGAGGAGAUGCUGCCCUUAUUACUGAGUAUAUGUGGCUGAGCUACUAAGUAAUAGUGACCUUAAAAUAAUUACAUUAGAUUUCCUUGCAGGGAGGAUGACAAGUGAUGGUCUUGAGACAUUGGAGCCUGGCCUACCCUAUGAAGGUUUACCAGUAAGACUUGCCUUAUGGGGGAAUAUCUUUGCAUGUAUCCACACACAAUUUUGCAUCCUGUCAGUAAAACCCUCCUAUUCUGCCAGUCAAAUUAAACCACCUCCCCAAACCACAUAAGCCCUGUACCAACACUGUUCUGUUGGUACAUUGCCUGCGUUGACACUGCAUUACCCCAUCCAAUAUAAACCAUCCUCUAGCAACAAUCACACCAUGCCCCUGUCCCAGUGACAGCGACGGCAGUGGUCCAAUUUUGAACUCUGCUGCUCAGAGCAUGUGGCUCCAAGGGUAGGAUGGUGCUACAGGGUUUCCCUCGCGAUUCCAAACACAGGGACUAGGGGCCUUGGUGUGGGCUGCCAGACCAGAAGCCUGCCGCCCACUGUAACCUCCCCAGCCUGUUCUGGAAAUUUGUCUCCCAGUGCACAGGUCCGUCACCAGAUGGAGCUACGGCUAAGUUCAGGCAAGCCUCAUGCUGCAGCCUGGGUCAAGAAAGGAGGUCUGGACUUCCUCAGCCUGAGGAAAGAAGGGGCAGCGCAAGCCCCACUGUGGAAUUGCCAUAGGAAUAAAGUUGUUUGUUCUGACAUUACAAAGAAGAAACUAAAGGUGGGGGUAGGCCAGGGAUAAGGAGCAAUACCAGGAAAGGGGGAAGGAAACUAUAGCAGUCCUAUCAAAAGGCAAUGGAGGUUUCCUGCGACACUUGAUAUUAUUAUGAUGCUGGAUGCCAUACUGGGCAGGGACCCCACACAACCACCCUGUGAGGGACAGUGGACUGAAAUCCAGAGACAGCAGCCUCCAGUAGCUCACAGCAAUGAAGAACUCAUACAAAGGAUGCUGAUCCCAUGGAAAGCCAGGCGCUCUUCAACAGCCAGUCAAACCCAACCCAGACAAAUCCUGAAGUGGAACCAGUGGAACCCACUGAUGAGGGAAAGGGGGCUCAGGUAAAUGUAUUAAUUCAUGCUGCUUUUAAAAAAAAAAGUGUGUUCACAGGCUCCAAAAUCCCCCCCCCCUUUUUUCCUGCCCUCUUCUCCCUCUUAAAAUGGUGGCUGAAUGCAUGCAGGCAGCAAACAAAAUAAAUUGCUUUUUGGACUAGUUGGUUUAUUUUAACAUUCAUUGGCACUAGGAGGCAAAAAAAUAAGACAAUAUGAUAAGCAACAGAAAAACAUUCUCACAUGCAUGCUAAUGUCAGGGUAGGCAGAUAGAAUGUCUAGCAAUACAAGUUGAUGUAUUCUUGUAAACGGAACAUGAACUACGCUCAAGCCUAUAUGCAAGUGUUAAAAUAAACUUAGAAAAUUUAAAAUAAUCCUUGCAAGCAAUCCAGUAAAUGGUAAUUAAUAGUACAUAUUUUUAUGAAUAAAAUUGUAAAGCAAACAUAUAAUAACAUAAAAACACUGUACUUUGUUUUUCCAGGCUGAGUCCAAGUCCAAAAUAAAUUACUUGCAUGCUGAUCUUGGAUUCAGGGGUAGAAAUGACUUAUUGCUGGCUCAUGGGGUUUAGCUUUGAAUGCGUUUGCAGAACUAAACAGUGAUAACAGCCCUUCUUUUUCAGAGUUUUAGGUUGACCUUGAUGAGAAUAUUCCUUUAGUCUUCUGGUACAGUCUAGAUAAAGUUGUCAAGUACGUAUUCAUUAAACUCUGACCGAAAAUUUCUCAGAAAAGCGGCCUUGUUCCUCAUGCUGCAGUAGGGCAUCUUCCCACACUGCUCUCAGUGAAUUCUAGUGGCACCAUCACUUUGAAGAAACCAGCAAUGUACAGGCCAGAUGGCCUCAAGCAGUUGCCUUCUCUGGGCCUUUGCCACCCUCAGGAGUGAUAUCUAAGCCAGGUUCACCGCUGCCUUUUAUAAAUUUUACAAUAUUUACUGUACUAUCCCUACACUUAUUACUUGACACAUGACAGUUCACCCUCACCCCCUUUACUACAGAUUUUGAAAUAUACCCUCAUAUAAUCACCAUGUGGGGAGCUGCUGCUAUGAUUGGUUUUCCUCCCCUUUCUCAUCUAUCUGCUACACCUUCUACCAAGUUUGGCUUUCCCCUUGUCUUUGUUAUCCUCUUUUAUGUUCUAGCUCUGCUGAGUGCCUCUGGAGGAAGCCCCAUGGCUACGCCUCACUGUAAAUUGUCUUUAACAAGCAACAAGAAGCUGAAACAAUUCUACUUUUCCCUGAUAUACUCACAUGCCUCUAUCCCUUGAGAAUUCCUUAAUUUAUCAUACCCUACGUCUUCCUCUCUGACAUGCUCUGUUGUCUCCUCUAUUCCCAGGAUCUUGCCAAUUAUUUUAAAGUUAGGACUAACAUAUAAGUGGCACAAGGACUCAAUUCCCUCUUCCUCAUUUCUAUUAUCCCUUUAUCUGACUUAUGUGAGUCUCUCACCACACAACCUGUCCCUUUGGCCCCCCUCCCCUCCCAUGUGCUGUCCUUCAUCUCUCAACUUUGCUUCACCCUGGCUUCUUUGCUUUUACUUUCACAAAAACACUUAAUCACACUUGCUUCUUCAGUAUCCAUCAUAAUUCCCGCCUCCAUUUUACCACUGUGCUCCUUGUGCUUGAUUCUGUUUUCUCCAAUUCACUCCCUGAUUAGUUUCAUUCUGGCCUCAGACCACUCCUCACUAAUGAAAGUGUUCUAACCAGAACAGUCCUGGUUCAGUUCCAACACCAUUGCAGUGUCAGUCCAGGUCUUUUUAGACUUUUCUGUCUCCCAGUGCUCCCCCAAGCAUAUUUCUUACCUUUAAGAGAGCUCAAAAAAUAACUUAUUUUAAUAAAGCUUGUAAAGCUUUUGGCUAGGUACUCCAUAACAUGUAUAUAAUUUAAUACUCCUAUUGUGUAACUCUGAAAUACCUCACAGAAGCAUCUAUACCUUCCUUUUUCCAAAAGAUGAAAGCAACUAUCCGUUGUAGAUGGGGGAAUCCCGUUGCUGUUCAAGAUGACAAGUACCAAAAAAAGAGGAUUUUUUUUUUUAAAAACAAAGAACAAUCUGACUGUGAUACAUCAUGGCCAGAGGGCAGCAGAAGAGUGUUAGAAGGGAGCCUUAUUCCCUGUAGAGAGAAGAAAGUUUGCUAUAAUUAAUUAAAGCACCUGAAGCCAGUCACAUGAUAAACCCCCCCCCCCCUGCUUCAAUCAGACAAGAGGAGGAGUUGAAGCAGAGUGGAUUGGUGUUAGAGCAGAGAGAAAUUUGGAGGGAAGCUGAGGAGAGUUUGGAGAAGUGCUGUAAUAGGCUAAGAAGACCAAGACCCUAGAUGCCCUGAACUUGGAUCAGUGAAGCCAGUCAGUGGAAGGAGGAUCAGGCCCAUAAUGACUACUCUUCAAUCAGGACCUGAUCUUGCAAGACCUACCACUUUUACAAUGAGCUGCAUGCCAUUCUUGGAAGAGAGCCCCCCAGCAAUCCACAGACUACCAUGGAUAUCCCCAACGAGUUCAAGACUUAGACCCCUGCCAUGAACUGCAAGGAGGACAGUGGAGCACAUGCAACACAGGGGAAGGAGAGGGAUCCAGCUAUGCUGCAAUUCAGGACCUGUUCAAGGCUCUGCAGCAGUCUAGCCAGUCCAGGCAGCCAUGCACAUGCAAGCCUGAUGUAGAGGAAGGAAUCUCGGGUAACGGUUUGAAUGCAUUUUCCAUUAGUGUUUAAAUGUACUGAUGGCGCUCAACCCCAGCUUUGCAGGACAUUAGUAUUGACUUUUCAUUGUUUUACUCGUACUAGAAGUAAUGGUACAACAAACAGAGAUAGAACUGUCUGAUUUUCAUUCCCCAAUAAGGAUAGAUGUGUGGAGUCCAUGCAGAGCAGUUUGUUUAUAUACAUAGGGAUGUCCCUUGAAUCCUCCUGAGAGAUCUUGGUUAAACUUUCAUGGAGGUACUCUGCAAUCCUCUCUGGAAGGUUUCGAGGGGUAUCAGCGUUAAUACUUCCUCCCCAAUAGGACACUUUCCCACCCCAGUCUAUGAUGACUUCAGCAGUAAACAGACUGGCAGCAUAUGGGCCUGAGUAGCUUUGGGAUGCCUGCAGCAGCUAUGCUCUCUGUGCCUUUGUUACCAUCAGCAAGAUAUCAGCUAAAAUCUCCACCUGUGGAAAACCGUGCCAGUACUCAGUGCCAGUGCCCUGCACUUGUACACAUGGAAAUAGGGGCUGAAAUUUUAUUGUUUCAUCCGGCUGAACAAUUCCCACCUCAUUCCACCCCCAUCCUCACUCCCCACCCCUGCCCACACACACACGCACAUGCCCCUGCUGGGCUAUACCCAUGGCUGGCACUGGAGAGCAGUGCUGUACAGAGGCGCUCCAAAGCUGAAAUGCCAAUUGGCAUGUCUUUGUUUAAAACUUUAGGGAUGCAAGGAAAGGGAGUUCUAAAACUUAAAUUUCACCUUCAGUUUUAAAUAUAAAUGAUACCUCUGUGUGUUUUACCUGUAGCUGUUGUGGUCUUGAGCGUCCCCUCUCUGCACCUGGGGAAUGCCUGACCAUGAUAAGGAGGAGAAAGAAGAGGACACGGGAGGAGAUGCUCGGUGAAAUCCUGUAAGCCAGUGUUGCAUCAGAUUGUGAACAGAGCGUGGAGGGUUAAUAUUUCAGGCAUUAUGGUGAAAAAGUUUGGACAGGUAAAAGGACCAGGAUUCCCAGCAGAAAAAGAAGGAGAUGCACCUGGACAUAAUGGGACUUCUGUGGCAGCAAACACAGAUGCUGCAGACUCUUGCUGAAAUGCAGGUCUAACAAUCACAGGCUCACUUCCCUUUGCAGUCAAUGGAGAACUCCAUUUUAGCACCUCCCUAUGCCCUCCAACAUUUCAGGUGGUAUCGGGGGUAGCAUCCUUACCACUCCACAGGGGGCUCCGGUCAGGACAAUUACAGUUUCACAUACAUUGACCUAUGAAAGCCACAGUUGCUAUAUAUGUAGCCAAAAUGGACAGAAAUGUCCUUUCCACUUGUUAAGUGCUGUUACAAUAAAAACUUCUGAAGUAGUUAAUGUA